rnacentral:piRNA from 1 species
UAGGUAAUCUCCCUCAUAUAU